GUCAAUGAUUUUUGAUGUUGUUGUCCAAGGAUCUAGCAAUGGAGAAUUGGAUUUCUGUGACAAUCAUGACUGAUCGACACAAAGGGCUAGUCAAUGUUGUGGCAGAUUUGUUUUCGAAAGCAUAACACAUGUUUUGUGUUAGGCAUAUGUAUCAGAAUUUCUUUGCUGCAGGCUUCAAGGGUAAGCAGUUGAAGGAUUUGUUGUAAAGUGCAACAAAGUCGAGUCACUUAGGAUCAUUCAAGUAUUGGAUGGCGAAGAUUGAAGGUGCUGGCGAGGGGACACAUGGAUGGUUGAUGAGUAAAUCACCGAAUGAGUGGAGUAGAUCUCACUUCUCGUUUCAAUCGAACUGUGACAUGCUUCUAAAUAACCUCUAUAAGUGCUUCAACAAAUUCAUUUUGGAAGAAAGAGAGAAUUCCAUACUAACAAUGCUGAUUGGGAUUUAAAAUAAAUUGAUGCAUCGAAUUCAAGUGAAGUGAGAUAAGCUAAGAAACUAUAACAAGCUUGUAUGUCCCAAGAUACAAAAGAAAAUUGAGAAAUUCAUCGAUGCCUCCCAUGAAUGUAUUUUGCGAUGGAAUGGGGCACAUCAAUAUCAAGUUGAGUGUUCAUAUGGGGAAUUUGUAGUUGAUAUAGAGAAUCGAACUUGCACAUGCAGAAGAUGGCAAAUUUUUGGGAUUCCAUGCCCACAUGAGAUCGCAUGCAUCUUGCAUAAAGUUCAUGGCGUACAAGACUACGUUUCGGAAUGAUUUUUAGUUCAAAGGUACAUGAUAGCAUAUGAAAAUGUUAUAAAUCCCAUCAAUGGGAAAGAUUUGUCGCCUGAAAUUAGAGAAGUUGUUGUGCUUCCCCCACCAUGGUACCAAGCUACUAAAGAGAGAGAGAAAAAAAAGGAAAAGACGAAAGGGACCUGAAGAAAUAGAAGCUUCCUAGUCACAUCACAGUCACAAGGGUGUUUACCUAAGAAGGUGAGAGUGUUCAUGAGAUGUUCGUUGUGCGGUGGGAAGGGACACAACAAAUGUUACCAUAAUGUGAAGUCUUCCACAACAACUGACACUUACGAAAGUGGUGUUGAGGUACUAACAAUUAUUGAUUUUUUUUGUCAGUCAUGGAGUCUGGUUUUAUCAUAUCAUUCCUUACCCACAUGAGACUAAUUUUUAUACACAUUUCAAAAGCAUCAAGCACUUGAAAAGAGUUGAAAAAUUCUGAGUUUGAGCAUGGUUUUUUGUGGUCCUGAAAUGUAGCCAUCUAUGAGAAUCAGUGGGGCCUGCAAUGAAGUGUUUUUUGUUUACUCCAUGCAGCCUAUAGAACAACAAAGUAGUUUUUUUUUUUUUGGUACUUAUGGUUAGUGCCAGCAGCCGGUAGUGUAAUGUCAAUGGUUUUUGUACAUUUGUGUGUAGGGAGGUUAUGUUUGUAGCAGGUUUUUAAAGUGCGGACAAUAAAUGGUUAAUGCAGG
rnacentral:lncRNA from 1 species